CAUCGCUCGCUGGCCGUCCGAUGGGCUAGCUCGCUCGUUUUUCAUCGUUCGAUUUUACUAUUUACUGCUUGAUUUUAUUACAUCUACAACCCUUUUGCCAGGUGACUGCCACUGGGCCCAUGUAAUUACUGAUCCACGCGGCAGUGAAGCGCUCGAUCGACUGAGUCCGUAGCAAACGACGCUCCCGGUGAAAAAAACCCUAGAUCGAGAGGUAAAAAGAGAUCGCCUCCUCCUCACUCCUCCCACACCCAGCGGCGCCUCCUCCCUCCUCCCACGACCUCCUUCCAUGGCCGCACCUCACUGCCUUGACACCACCUCCUCCCCUUAUCGGCAGCGCCUCCUUCCUCCUCCCAGGACCUCCUUUCAUGGCGGUGCCCCGACCUAACCGAUCUUCCUCGUCUUCAGUCAAGGACCCGAUCGGCUGGAGCAGUUGGAGAGUAGUGACUGAUGCCGGCCAGAGAAGGCAGGGAGCAGCGGACGCCAGAGAGGGAGGCGGCUCGUCGUGGACCGGCCAUGGCGCUGGCGCUGCUGACUCCCACCGGCCUCCUUCGUCUCCCAGCCACAGCCUGCUCCAACCCCUCCCUCUGAUGUGGUGUGGUGGGAGAAGGAAGAAGAGCAGGAAGGCAGGGAGCAGCGGAUGCCAGAGAGGGAGGCGACUCGGCGUGGACCGGCCAUGGCGCUGGCGCUGCUGACUCCCACCGGCCUCCUUCGUCUCCCAAACACAGCCUGCUCCAACCCCUCCUAUGAUGUGGUGUGGUGGGAGAAGGAAGAAGAGCAGGCAUGCUCUCUGUCUACAUCCAGCGCCACACGGCUAGAUCGACGGGUCUAAACUAUGGAAUACAGAAAGAAUAAGCUUAGAAUCUGCUGCGCUGUGCAUGGCUGUUGAAGUUCAGCAUUGCUAUGAUGUGUAUGGUUUCUCUGUUUUCCUCAUAUCGCCCUAUUCCCAAUUUUACAAACUGCUAUGUGACGCACAGUGGCCACGCCACACACUGGUGAGAUUCAAGGUGCAGUCGAGCAAGAGUCAGUUCGAGGUGAGGCGUGUCACGUCGAUCUCCUGCUGCUCACCAGUGAGGCUCGCUGACAAACGGCCAGAUCCACACGAGGUGGAUGUCACACACACGGCACUCUCCCCUCGAUCCUUUCUCUUUCCUACAACUACUAUGUCUUGUACCUUGUUAUAUUGCUCUUUCAUCCAUGGGGAUAAAGAUGUUAACUCAGUUUGAUAAUGGAGUCACAGAUUUGUAUCUGAUAAUUCUUGAAAAUCAGAUUGAAACAUCCAUACUAAUUUGUUGGUUUGUCUCAACCAGUAAUUCAAUGUAAACCUAUUAACAUGAAUUUUAUGGGUAUACAUUGUCUCCUCCUAUGCCAAUUAUUUUCUCCAGAUUAGUUGUAUCAUAACUUUCAAGAAGGUUACAAACCUAGCAAUGAAUGAGACUAUCAUUAUGAUUGAAGAUAACUUACCGUUACAAUUGUUUCUUUUGAAGUUUUACUGUUUAUGGAGGUGACAAUGCUAGAUAUAUACAUCUGUAUCAUGGCACUUCUCCAGCAAACAAAAGCUCGGCAGCCAUCUACUUUCAGAGAGUUUGAAAACGUACUAUCACGCUAACUCAGUUAUCCAGAUUAAUGGUAAGUGUGUAUUUUCUUGUAUACCGAUCUACAGAAUUACAAUUGAGAUC